GGGAAAGGACCAUAAAUACCAACAUGACUAAAGCAUUCCCUGAGCCUGGAAGGAGUUUAAGAUUUACUCAGUUUGAAAAUUGCCAGAAAAAUCCUGGAGGUGGAAAGAAGAAGAGCCUUUGGGACUAUAUGAUACAAUCUUAGCAGGAUAUUGUUACAGGAUAAAGGGGAGUCAGGCCACUUAGUAGUGUCACGGAGCAUGGUCGUAGCCACAAGACUGACCCUAGGCCAGUAGAGAGAAGACCUGCAGAAGAAGGAGAAAGCUACUCUUCCUCAAAUCUUGCCUGAAGAUCUUUGCAAAGGCCGUUCCCUCUGCCUGGGAAAUGUCCUUCCUCCUUUUCUGGGUUACAUAAGACUGCAACUUCCAUCUUGCUGAUCACCUUCUCACCUUAUAUGCUUUGAUGAAGCAAGCUCACAUGUUGGAAAAGCUCAAGGAAUUGAAUCCUGGCAACAACCACAUGAGUCUGGGAGUGGAUGCUUCACCCAGUCAACCUUCAGAUGAGAUCCCUGCCCUGGCCAACACCUUGAUUACAGCCUUGUGAGAGACCCUGAAGCUGAGUACUUAGCUAAGCAUGCCUCAACUCCUAACCCUCAGAAACUAAGAGAUAAUAAAUGUG